rnacentral:lncRNA from 1 species
UUUUCUCAUGUACAGGAAUAAUAUAUAAUUUGCCAACGCAUCUUAGAGGAUUGACUAAUGACGAUGAGGCUAAGCGAAUGUUGUAUUAGAUAACUUGUUUAAAUUUUAAUGUAACAUUUUGAUAUUUAGAACUUGUACUAGAUAUUUAGCUCCUGUUGCAACUGCUAUUGCUGUUUUCUUGAUCUACCCUAUUGGUCAAGAAAGUUUCUCUGCUUUAGGAAUCUCUAGUACUUUCAACUUUAUGAUUGUAUUUCAGGCAGAGCACAAGUGCACAACAUCCUUAUGCAUCAAUUUCACAUGUUAGGUGUAGCUGGUGUAUUUGGCGGCUCCCUAUUCAGUGGUAUGCAUGGUUCCUAUGUAUUGUUGAUUGUGUUUUGAAUGUUGAUGGCAUGAAUGUAUUUGAUUGUGUUUUGAAAUUUUGAUCGUGUUUUGAAAUUUUGUAUCGAAAUAUUGAUAUUAUAUGGCAUGUUUUGAAAUUUUGAUUGUGUUUUGAAAUUUUGAUUGUGUUUUGAAAUUUUGUAUCGAAAUAUCUAUAUGGCAUGAAUGUACGUACUUUGAUUGUAUUUGAUUAUGUUUUGAAAAUUUGAUUUUACUAUAAUAUAUUUUGAAAUAUGGUUAAAAAGAAGUCAUUAUUUUGGAUUUGGGUUUUCGGGUUCGGGUUUUCGGGUUCGGGUUCGGGUUCGGGUUUCGGGUAUUUGGUCGGGGCCGGGUAUGGGUAUGGAUUUUUUAAACCCGUCGGGUUCGGGUUCGGGUUCGGAUUCGGGUAUGAACUUGGUAUUCGGGUUCGGGUUCGGGUUUUUAAAAACCCGACCCAUAUCUGACCCGUUGACAUCCCUACAUGGCACCCCU